rnacentral:lncRNA from 1 species
GCUGCUAGACCCCUUCCCCGGUGCCGUGGCCAGGCGGCCGUGCUGCGCCGCCCGGGAAGUUGGAUAGGCCGGAGAAGUCUGCAAUUCCUCCCAAGUGCGCUGCCAGCUUGUCUUCUCCAGAUAAGCAAAGAAAGGGUGUUUCUGCAUAAUGAGGCUGCUUCAGCCAUUAACAUGCACUGCAGGCCGGCUGGAAGAUCGGGAAGGCUGACUCUGUGAGGCAAAUAAACACGUUUAUCUGCAAAUUCCCUCUACGGAA